rnacentral:rRNA from 1 species
CCACAUCCAAGGAAGGCAGCAGGCGCGCAAAUUACCCACUCCCGGCACGGGGAGGUAGUGACGAAAAAUAACGAUACGGGACUCAUCCGAGGCCCCGUAAUCGGAAUGAGUACACUCUAAACCCUUUAACGAGGAUCAAUUGGAGGGCAAGUCUGGUGCCAGCAGCCGCGGUAAUUCCAGCUCCAAUAGCGUAUAUUAAAGUUGUUGCGGUUAAAAAGCUCGUAGUCGAAUCUGUGUCCCGCGCCGCCGGUUCAUCGCUCGCGGUGUUUAACUGGCGUGCCGCGAGACGUCCUGCCGGUGGGCUUAGCCCGUUCGCGGGCGGCCCAACUUCAAAUCCCACCGCGGUGCUCUUGACUGAGUGUCGAGGUGGGCCGGCACGUUUACUUUGAACAAAUUAGAGUGCUUAAAGCAGGCUAAAACUUCGCCUGAAUACUGUGUGCAUGGAAUAAUGGAAUAGGACCUCGGUUCUAUUUUGUUGGUUUUCGGAACCCCGAGGUAAUGAUUAAUAGGAACGGAUGGGGGCAUUCGUAUUGCGACGUUAGAGGUGAAAUUCUUGGAUCGUCGCAAGACGGACAGAAGCGAAAGCAUUUGCCAAAAACGCUUUCAUUGAUCAAGAACGAAAGUUAGAGGUUCGAAGGCGAUCAGAUACCGCCCUAGUUCUAACCAUAAACGAUGCCAGCUAGCGAUCCGCCGACGUUCCUCCGAUGACUCGGCGGGCAGCUUCCGGGAAACCAAAGCUUUUGGGUUCCGGGGGAAGUAUGGUUGCAAAGCUGAAACUUAAAGGAAUUGACGGAAGGGCACCACCAGGAGUGGAGCCUGCGGCUUAAUUUGACUCAACACGGGAAACCUCACCAGGCCCGGACACCGGAAGGAUUGACAGAUUGAGAGCUCUUUCUUGAUUCGGUGGGUGGUGGUGCAUGGCCGUUCUUAGUUGGUGGAGCGAUUUGUCUGGUUAAUUCCGAUAACGAACGAGACUCUAGCCUGCUAACUAGGCGUAUUUUCGACAUCUCAAAGGCCCGCCGGCCCGGCGUUUCGCGUCGCGGUUGGGCGCGGUUUUUACUGUCGGCGUACAAUCAAUUCUUCUUAGAGGGACAGGCGGCUUCUAGCCGCACGAGAUUGAGCAAUAACAGGUCUGUGAUGCCCUUAGAUGUUCUGGGCCGCACGCGCGCUACACUGAAGGAAUCAGCGUGUCCUCCCUGGCCGAGAGGCCCGGGUAACCCGCUGAACCUCCUUCGUGCUAGGGAUUGGGGCUUGCAAUUGUUCCCCAUGAACGAGGAAUUCCCAGUAAGCGCGAGUCAUAAGCUCGCGUUGAUUACGUCCCUGCCCUUUGUACACACCGCCCGUCGCUACUACCGAUUGAAUGAUUUAGUGAGGUCUUCGGACCGGUACGCGGCGGCGCUCCGCGUCGCCGAU